UUCUGUUCAUUAAUCUUCUUUGAUAUAUUAUUACAAUCUGCAGAAGGAAACUAUUUAGCCUGGGAUGAAAAACCAAACUGCUUUAGCUUGCAACACUGCAACCUUGUGCCUGUACUGCCAGCUGCUGAAUUGAGUUUGUUACAUGACCCUAGAGACGC